UCUUUUUUUUUUUUUUUUUUGACAGAGUCUCGCUUUGUCACCCAGGCUGGAGUGCAGUGGGGUGAUCUCGGCUCACUGCAGCCUCCACCUCCCAGGUUCAAGCGAUUCUCGUGCCUCUGCAUCCUGAAUAGCUGGGAUUACAGGUGUGCACCACCACAUCCUGCUGAUUUUUGUAUUUUGAGAGAUGGGGUUUUGGCACGUUGGCCAAGCUGGUCUCGAACUCCUGGCUUCAAGCAGUCCACCCACCUUGGCCUCCCAAAGUGCUGGAAUUACAGGCGUGCACCACCACGCCCGGCCAGAUCUUCAUAUAUCUAAGAUCCUGUCAAGAAGACAUGGUAAACCUCAUCAUGAUCAAGAAUGAGACUUUGCUUGCAUCCAGGCUUCCCAAAAGUUGUUUGAUAGUAUACAGGCAUGAGAUGGUGUGACUCUAACUCAUUAGAUGCCUUCGUCUUUUCAGUCAUCAUGUGAUGGAAAGAAAGCUAUCAACUUCAUUCCUGAGACUUCCUGCAACACAGAUCCAUCUAAACUUUUACUUCAUUGGAGGGUCCUUCCUGACCCAUGCAACUCAACAAAAAACUCUCACAGUUUUUAUAUGCUUUGUUGGGGAUUAACCCAUCUUGCAUUGCAUUGCUAGCUUAGUAUGUCUAGCAUGGGCAUGCCUGCUGAAGUUUGGAACUUCCCAUCAAGGAAACAGGAAAAUGCCAUUGGCAAUGAGCUGAAGACUGAUUUACUCUACCAGUUUGGAACAUCUGUUAUUGCUGCUACUACGGUUUCUAUCACUGUUUGAUGCUGGGACUCUUAAGCUCCAACCACGUUUUCACCGAGCUGAGUCGCCUUCUUAUCACCCCUUUCUGGAGCAGCAGGACAUCUGGGGAUGAGAAGAUGGAGAGAUCAUCCUUAUAUAAUGUUGCAGUCUGGAAGCAUCACUCUCAAAAAGCCAUUGUAGAGAAUCCAAGCCGAGUUUAAGAGUGCUGUGGAAAUACACUGCUGCUACUGCUGUUUCUAUUACUGUUUGAUGCUGGGACUCUUAUGCUCCAACCACGUUUUCACCCAGCUGAGUCGCCUUCGUAUCACGCCUUUCCAGUUUUGAUAGACUAGAAAAAUGACAAGACUCCAAGUCCUUGAAGAGGAGGAAAAGUGUGAAGAAAACAAAAAAGGGAGAUUUAUGUCUGCUUCACCAUUUUGCCCAAGACUUGACCUGUCAUACACUGAAGCUCAGAGAGGAAGAAAGGACCGUGUGAGAGAAGAAGGGAACAGCCUUUCAUCCAUAGGAGAAGUUCGUCUAUGACAAAGCCACUAGCUCCAUGUGGCCGCUGAGCACUCAAAAUGUGGCCAGUCUGAAUUGAGAUAUGUUGUUAGUAUAAAGUCCACAUCGGCUUUUUGAGCACUUUGUAUGAGAAAAAAGAAUACCAAAUAUCUCCUUAAUAAUUGUUACAUUGAUUAUAUGUUGAACUGAUAACAUUAUGGAUAUAUUGGAUUAAAUAAAAUAAAUUAUUAAAAUCAAAUAAAAAAUAAAAUCAA
ensembl:lncRNA LINC01203 long intergenic non-protein coding RNA 1203